AUGCACGCUGGCGGCGUGCCUAAUCCAUGCAAGUCGAGCGAACGGACGAGAAGCUUGCUUCUCUGAUGUUAGCGGCGGACGGGUGAGUAACACGUGGAUAACCUACCUAUAAGACUGGGAUAACUUCGGGAAACCGUAGCUAAUACCGGAUAAUAUUUUGAACCGCAUGGUUCAAAAGUGAAAGACGGUCUUGCUGUCACUUAUAGAUGGAUCCGCGCUGCAUUAGCUAGUUGGUAAGGUAACGGCUUACCAAGGCAACGAUGCAUAGCCGACCUGAGAGGGUGAUCGGCCACACUGGAACUGAGACACGGUCCAGACUCCUACGGGAGGCAGCAGUAGGGAAUCUUCCGCAAUGGGCGAAAGCCUGACGGAGCAACGCCGCGUGAGUGAUGAAGGUCUUCGGAUCGUAAAACUCUGUUAUUAGGGAAGAACAUAUGUGUAAGUAACUGUGCACAUCUUGACGGUACCUAAUCAGAAAGCCACGGCUAACUACGUG
rnacentral:rRNA from 1 species